GUCUCUACUAAAAAUAUAAAAAAUUAGCCAGGCGGGGUGGCACAUGCCUGUAAUCCCAGGUACUCAGGAGGCUAAUUCAGGAGAAUCGCUUGAACCAGGGAGGCCGAUGUUGCAGUGAGCUGAGACCGCACCACUGCACUCCAGCCUGGGCGACAGAGCAAGACUCUGUCUCUCUGUCUCCAAAAAAAAAAAAAAAAAAAAAGGAAAAGAAAAACAAAAACAGCAACACAAUCACCCUAAAUUCUCACAACUACCACUAUAUUACUGCUCCAUUUUCCAGAUGAAGAAACUGAGCGGUUAAGCAGCUUGCCCAAAUGGGAAAUAAAGUGGAGAGGUGGUUUUUGAGUCCAGGGAGCCCACCUCCAGGGUCCACAGUUCUUAACCCCCAGCCAGCAGUGCUCAGCUAACCUUCUGGGGCAAACAGUGGGAUUGAUGUGGGGGAAGCCAGGAACCAGUGAAAAGAUGACCCUAAUAGUUUAGGACAAAGGUGGCGGUAGCUGAGGUGUUUCAGGGCCUGGCAAAAGGCCAGAGAACAGUUACAUAGGCUGGGCAUGGUGGCUCAUGCCUGUAAUCCCAGCACUUUGUAAUCCCAGCUGAGGAGGGUGGAUCACCGGAGGUCAGGAGUUGGAGACCAGCCUGGACAACAGGGUGAAACCCCGUCUCUACCAAAAAUACAAAAAUUAGCCGAGCGUGGUGGAGGGCGCCUGUAAUCCCAGCUACUCAGGAGGCUGAAGCAGGAGAAUCGCUUGAAUCCGGGAGGUGGAGGUUGCAGUUUGCCGAGAUCGCGCCACUGCACUCCAGCCUGGGCAACAAAAGCGAGAUUCCGACUCUUUAAAAAAAAUAAAAUAAACAGGAAGGGGGGCGCGGAGGCAGUUACAGUCCUGCCCCCACCAGCGAUGUAACCCCCGCGCCUCCUCUGGCAGGGCUUGCUGGUCAGCGUCCUCUACUGCUUCAUCAACAAGGAGGUGCAGUCGGAGAUCCGCCGUGGCUGGCACCACUGCCGCCUGCGCCGCAGCCUGGGCGAGGAGCAGCGCCAGCUCCCAGAGCGCGCCUUCCGGGCCCUGCCCUCCGGUUCCGGCCCCGGCGAGGUCCCCACCGGCCGCGGCUUGUCCUCGGGGACCCUCCCAGGGCCUGGGAAUGAGGCCAGACGGGUGUUGGAAAGUUACUGCUAGGGGGCGGGAUCCCUGUGUCUGUUCAGUUAGAAUGGAUUUAUUGAGUGCCUACUGCGUGCCAGGCCCAGUAUGGAGGACGAUGGGGAAAUGGUGAAGGAAACAGAAAAAAGGUCCCUCCUGGAGAUGACAACUGAGUGGGGAAAACAGACCAUGAACACAAAACAUAAAGUGCCACACACGCUAUGGAAUGGUUAUGAAGGGAAGUGAGAAGGGGUCCUAAGGUGGUCAGGGAAGUGUCUCCAAGGAGGUGACAUUUAAGCCAUCCCCGAAAGAGGUGAAGGAGAUCAUUUUGUGGAGAACUGGAGAACAGGAUUCUAGGCCGAAGCGACAGCAUAGGCAAAGGCCCUUGGGCAGGAAGGCACUCAGCCUUGGCUGGAGUAGAAUUAAGUCAGAGCCAACAGGUGGGGAGAGAGAGAGAAGUGGGCAGGGGCACACAAGUUGGGAUUUCAUUUCAGGUGCUUUGGAGAUUCUUAAGAGUGUCUCUUGGGGGU
ensembl:lncRNA